rnacentral:rRNA from 1 species
GAUGAACGCUGGCGGUGUGCUUAACACAUGCAAGUCGAACGGGAAACCUUUUAUUGAAGCUUCGGCAGAUUUAGCUGGUUUCUAGUGGCGGACGGGUGAGUAACGCGUGGGUAACCUGCCUUAUACAGGGGGAUAACAGUCAGAAAUGGCUGCUAAUACCGCAUAAGCGCACAGAGCUGCAUGGCUCAGUGUGAAAAACUCCGGUGGUAUAAGAUGGACCCGCGUUGGAUUAGCUGGUUGGUGGGGUAACGGCCCACCAAGGCGACGAUCCAUAGCCGGCCUGAGAGGGUGAACGGCCACAUUGGGACUGAGACACGGCCCAGACUCCUACGGGAGGCAGCAGUGGGGAAUAUUGCACAAUGGGGGAAACCCUGAUGCAGCGACGCCGCGUGAAGGAAGAAGUAUCUCGGUAUGUAAACUUCUAUCAGCAGGGAAGAUAAUGACGGUACCUGACUAAGAAGCCCCGGCUAACUACGUG